UAUGCUCUCAUCUUUCCUUGUAAAGAUUGAAAGUUUAAAAAAAGAAACUCAACAGCAAGCAGGCGAAUCCCAAGAAUUAAAAUUUUACGACAAGUGGAUUCAGACAGUGCGCGAUUGGUCGGAAUUUCUUAUGAAAAGAGGCCAUGAAAAUAAUGAAAAACUUUUUUCUUUCAUUUGUAACUAUUUCCCCCCUUUAAUAACAAAAGUGGUCUGUACUUCUAAAGUUUCUUGCCGGAAUUUAUUAGUGCGCCUUCCCUAUUCAGAGAAACACGCAUACCCCGGUCAACUACCAAUCGUUUUGCAACUCGAAGCCACUUUUAUAGAUUUACUUCGACCUUGUGACGUUUUUUUUCAGAUUGAAAUCUCUGAUAAAAGUCUGCUCCUUGUAAAACCUGAACUUCAUUCUUUUAGAGCUUCGAAAAGUAUAAAUAAAUAUAAAUUUCUGCAGGAAAUUCAGCUUCAACUUAUUUCUUCUACUGAACACUUCCAGCUUGCUAUUCGGCCUGUACUUAAAAGUGCAUCUUCUAAUAGUGAAGACUUUUCGGUCCCCGAGAGCCACGUGGCCUUUGGGGAGCCUUAUUUUCUGGACGUCCAUCCCUUCCCUCCUGCGAAAAACGCUACAGUUUUUGGGAAUCGCGAGAAAUAAUAUUUCUGGAUAUCGUUCUUUUGAAAAGAAGCGGUU